UACAGAGGGGGCAAGCGUUGUUCGGAAUUACUGGGCGUAAAGGGCGCGUAGGCGCCUGUUAAGUCGAACGUGAAAUCCCCGGGCUCAACCCGGGAACUGCGUCCGAUACUGGCUGGCUUGAAUCCGGGAGAGGGAUGCGGAAUUCCUGGUGUAGCGGUGAAAUGCGCAGAUAUCAGGAAGAACACCAAUGGCGAAAGCAGCUCUCUGGG
rnacentral:rRNA from 1 species